rnacentral:rRNA from 1 species
CGAAAGCCUGACGGAGCAAUACCGCGUGAGGGAGGAAGGUUUUUGGAUUGUAAACCUCUUUUUUAAAGGAAGAAGAAAGUGACGGUACUUUAAGAAUAAGCAUCGGCUAACUCCGUGCCAGCAGCCGCGGUAAUACGGAGGAUGCAAGCGUUAUCCGGAAUCAUUGGGCGUAAAGCGUCCGCAGGUGGCGAAUCAAGUCUGCUGUUAAAGACAGAAGCUCAACUUCUGAACAGCGGUGGAAACUGGUUUGCUAGAGUAUGGUAGGGGUUGAGGGAAUUCCCAGUGUAGCGGUGAAAUGCGUAGAUAUUGGGAAGAACACCAGUGGCGAAGGCGCUCAACUGGGCCAUAACUGACACUCAGGGACGAAAGCUAGGGUAGCG